UGCAAUUAAUUUGUGAAGUAGGUAUCAAC
rnacentral:piRNA from 1 species